rnacentral:rRNA from 1 species
UACAUGGGGUGCAAACGUUGCUCGGAAUCAUUGGGCGUAAAGCGCGCGUAGGCGGUUACUUAAGUUGGAUGUGAAAGCCCUCGGCUUAACUGAGGAAGUGCAUCCAAAACUGAGUAGCUAGAGUACGAAAGAGGGUCGCGGAAUUACCGGUGUAGAGGUGAAAUUCGUAGAUAUCGGGGGGAACACCGGUGGCGAAGGCGGCGACCUGGGUCGAGACUGACGCUGAGGCGCGAAAGCGUGGGGAGCAAACAGG